GAGAGAGAGAGAGAGAGAGAUUUUGUUUCUUUUGCUUUAUGGGCCCCACGUUUUCUAAUUAGGAUUAAACAGUGGGUCUAGCUUGCUGAUUGGGAUUAAAAUUGUUGACAUGAUGCCACAUUUGAGAUAUAAAUAAAUUUGGGUUGAAAAAUUAACAAAUCCAGCUUUUCUUACUGAAAGCUCCAUGUUGCCAAUUAGGACUAAAUGAUGGCUCUAGCUUGCCAUUUGGGAUUAAAAUUGCUGAUGUAGAGGCCCAUUUGAGAUAAAUUAAAGUGAAUUAUCAAAAAUUAACAAAUUAUAGUUUUCUUACUGAAAUGAAAUUAAGUGGCAACUUGAGUGACGACUGAUAUAAUUUAAUCUGAAAAUGGCUUGCUUGAACUACUCUGAAAGUACAGUUUGUGUUUUCAUUCUUUUAUAAACCUUGUUCGACAUUUCUGAACUGGAAACCUGCAUGGUAACAUACAAUUUCUUUUUAACUAUUUUAAAAUUCGCAUAUGAAAGUAAGCCAGCAUUCUUUGCAGUUGGCUUCAUAGAAGCCUCCAAUGAUUUGUUGGAUUCUUUAGUGGUGGGACUGAAAUUGUAAAUUUAACUUCCCAUAUUAUUUAUCUUCUCCUGUUAAGGAUAUCUACCUGGAAGGCUCUAUGAUCUCAAUGCAUCGCAGUAUGGAAACCAAGAUGACCUAAAAGCUUUAGUGAGGGCCUUGCACAAAAUGGGGAUUCAGUGCAUAGCAGACAUAGUUAUAAACCAUAGAUGUGCAGAGAAGCAAGAUGAUAGAGGAAUAUGGUCAAUAUUUGAAGGAGGGACUCCAGAUGAUCGACUUGACUGGGGGCCAUCUUUCAUUUGCAGCGAUGACACUCUUUACUCUGAUGGAAAAGGAAAUCCUGACACUGGAGCUGACUUCAAUGCUGCUCCAGAUAUUGAUCAUAUAAACCUGCGGGUACAAAGUGAGCUAUCGGAUUGGAUGAAUUGGCUAAAGAAUGAAAUUGGUUUUGAUGGGUGGCGAUUUGAUUUUGCGAGAGGAUAUUCACCAAGUUUUACUAAAAUAUACAUGGCAGACACCAAACCAAGUUUUGCAGUGGGGGAAAUAUGGAAAGAUCUUGCUUAUGGAAAUGAUGGAAAGCCUGAAUACAACCAGGAUGCUCAUCGGCUUGACAUUGUGGAAUGGAUCCAAGCUGCUGGUGGAGAUGUUACGGCAUUUGACUUCACAACUAAAGGAAUACUCCAAACAGCAGUUGGAGGUGAGCUGUGGCGGUUGAAUGACUCAAAUGGAGGACCUCCUGGAGUGAUUGGCUUGUUGCCAGGGAAUGGUGUCACUUUCAUUGACAAUCAUGAUACAGGUUCCACACAAAAUCAUUGGCCAUUUCCAUCAGAUAAAAUCAUGCAGGGAUAUGCUUAUAUUCUCACCCAUCCAGGGAUCCCAUCAAUAUUCUAUGAUCACUUUUUUGACUGGGGUCUGAAAGAAGAGAUUUCAAAGCUUAUUGCAGUCAGAACCAGGAACCAUAUCAGACCCAACAGUGUUAUGCAAAUUCUAGCAAGUGAUGCCGAUCUCUACAUGGCUGUUGUAGAUGAGAAGAUCAUUGCCAAGAUUGGACCAAGGUCUGAUAUUGGGGACCUUGUCCCUCCAACAUUCCAACUUGCAGCUUCUGGACAAGAUUACAGUGUAUGGGAGAAAAAAGUUAUAAGGUAAUUAAUAACAAGUGAAUCAUUCGUUCAAUUAAUUGAUGACAAUGUGUGAAUUUGGGUUUAACCUUCAUGAUACAAUCCAAAAUGUCUUGAAACACUGAUUCAAUCCAUUUGCUAUCUGUACACAUUGUUUAUGCAUAUAAGCUGGAAGAUUGUAUGCAUUGGAUACAAUGGCCGUUUGUAAUGGAGGUUUUGUUGAUGGUGCAAUAGAAUGAUGCUAUUUUCAGUGCAAGAAUUUGUUUGUCCACAAAAAU
rnacentral:misc_RNA from 1 species